AUCUAGCGUCUAUUUACGCCGCGGAUGGUUGUUUCAUAUCAGAAAUAACGACGGUGAUGGUGAUAAUGGAAAGAAACUCGGCUCAUCCAAGAGAACUUCGCCUUCGCCUUUGGCGUCAAGAGAGAUUUACAUCGGACAAAAAAAAAAGGAGAGAAAAAAGCACAGAAGCAAGAGCAGGAGUGACAAUACACAAAAAAAAGGAA